UAGCCUAAUGGUUAGAUAAGGCCUUAGUAGCACCUGAGGUCCUGGGUUCGACUCCUCGUUGGCCUAGUGGUUACAUAAGGCCUUAGUAGCACCUGAGGUCCUGGGUUCGACUCCUCGUUGGAGCGAAUUAUUCAUGAUUGUAACGGCUUUGUGCUUUCAGUGGGUGACGAUAUGAGGUUUGCACGCGCACGCGUGCAUUCCUAGAGGAGAGUCAUCAAAAAAAAUUGAAUAAUUGUCGUCAAUAUAGACAACGUUUGAUUUUCAGAGGACUCACAAUCAUCAUCUAUCUUCAUGAAAACUAUCCGUUUCUUAACAUUUCAGAGAUUUUUCUUU